rnacentral:lncRNA from 1 species
CCUUACCCCUGGAACACUCAGAGAUGAGUCACUCAAAGGGGUGGUUAGAACCUGGCCUUAGCAUCACAGCAAGGGAACACUAACGUGUUAGAGAAGCAACAAGACAAAGGAAAAGAACCUUGAGUCACUAGGGAUCCCAAUUGUGGGAAGGCACAAUAUGGAAAACCUAAUGGUAAAUAAAAGUUUGUUAGUCAAGAGUGUUAUGUAGAUUUCUCUAGUGCUGUCUCCAGGCUGAUUAAGGUCUAAAGUUGUCUCUAGUGAUUAAUUUUGGUCCUUACUAGUAGAGAGGGGAGGAGGAUAGAGAGCUUCUUUGUAAAUGUAUGUCCUGCUUUUAGGCAAAGAGGGAGAGGGCAGAGAGCUUCUCUUGUAUUUUUCUUCUUCUCAGUUGUCUUCCCCUCAAAAUUAUCAUUAUGUGAAAGUGGCAUAUUUUGGGGUGGCAUGUUCCGACACCCUAUAAUACCUAAUACCUUGACCAUUUCCCAUAAUCCAGUAUGACUGCUCCAUUUCUUUUGAAUGCCAAGAAGACAAUAAAAAUCUAAAUUUUAACAAUUUCAAAUUCACCUUUUGUGUCACAUACUAUGAAUUUUGUGUUGGGCUGAAGAUUUAAUCUAUUUUAGGAGAAAAAAUGUUACUACUUGAAAGGAAAAGACAUGUGAAUAAUAGGUAUUAGAAAAAAACAAAAAUCCCAAGCAGAUGUCUCUGUUUUUCCUUUGCACACCUCCCUGUAGGCACAGCACAGGUGAGAAUACUCAGUGAGGUGCCACGAAGAUUUCAAUGUCUCCCACAGUUAUUUCUCCCUCCACAAGAGAUGAGCACAGAUGUAAUUUCAAAGAAAAAUUCAAGUGUGUUUUCCUGAUGAAUUUUCAUAAAAAGGGCCAAGAAUGUGUGAUUUUAGAACCUACUAAAAUGUGCAAACCGACAGCUAGAGGGAGCCAAAUGGAUAAAGAAACAGAAAUGACACCCGAUAUCCUAGACUGAUGAGUCCUCCUGCACAGAUUCAGAAGGAGCUCUAUGUGAGAAUUAGUCACUUUUCUGAAAGGUAUAUAUUUUUUAUUUUUGUGAACUAACAUAAUUAACACAUUCAAUGUCGAAAAAGGUAACAAUAAACAGGUUUCAACAAAAAGAUCCUUUUUCCA